CGCCGUGACAACAGGGCGAGGGUGGCUUGGAGUUAGGCGGGGGCGGAGAGCGGUCCCCUGCGCCGCGUCUGUCCCUUUUUGCUGCACCCCGCUCCCCACCUUCUCCAUCAGUUCCUCCUCUGUAAGCCGCUGCACCUGCAGUCCUCGCCUGCCUGGUCUCUUCCGAGGGAUACAUGCGCUGCCCCUGCUUGUCUCCGGGGUGACGGAAAGGGGCGCCGGCGAGCGUGCUGGGGAGAACGGCUCCAACUCUGGGGAGCCGGCAGGGCUGCCUGGAGGGGCUCUCUCCUGCCCGGGACUUGAAACAACUUAGAGCGGGAGUAGCGAGGCGAAGGGUUGCUCUCCUUUGCACCCUCCACUCCGUCACUGGGAACCUCGUCAGGCGUUCUUAACGGGAAAUCUGCGCAAAGAGCGUUCGCAGUGAGGUGGGGCAGGUUGCACCUGCCUUGGCAUCAGAGUGAAAGAAAAUGUCUUUGUUUAAAGCCCGUGAUUGGUGGUCUACUGUUCUGGGAGAAAAAGAAGAAUUUGAUCAAGGCUGUUUGUGUUUGGCUGAUGUUGACAAUAGUGGAAAUGGCCAAGAUAAAAUAAUUGUGGGUAGCUUUAUGGGAUACCUAAGAAUCUUUAACCCCCAUCCUGUAAAAACAGGAGAUGGAUCUCAAGCUGAAGAUUUGCUUCUAGAAGUGCAUCUACGAGAUCCAAUACUUCAAGUGGAAGUAGGAAAAUUUCUUUCAGGUACUGAAAUGCUUUAUUUGGCUGUGUUGCAUUCUAGAAAACUUUGUGUCUACUCUGUCUCAGGAACUUUGGGUAAUGUGGAACAUGGGAACCAAUAUCAGAUCAAAUUGAUGUAUGAACAUAAUCUUCAGAGAACAGCCUGCAAUAUGACUUAUGGAUCAUUUGGUGGUGUAAAAGGGGUCCCUGCUACACCUGCUGCAGUCAGGGUGAAGCUGCAAACGCCUUUCUUCACCCUCCCUACCUCCACGGCUGCUGCACAGAGUCGUGCGAGUUGUUUCUGCACAAGGGCAGCUGGGAGUGGGGACAAGUGGGGGUUUGAAAUCUAGACAUGAUCCUGCUAGUCAAACGGUGCUCUCUGGCUUGGAAUAAAUCUUCCUAGAGGAAAGAGUGCCUCUUGUGCUGGC